rnacentral:rRNA from 1 species
UGGGGAAUAUUGCACAAUGGGCGCAAGCCUGAUGCAGCCAUGCCGCGUGUGUGAAGAAGGCCUUCGGGUUGUAAAGCACUUUCAGCGAGGAGGAAGGGUGGUGUGUUAAUAGCACAUUGCAUUGACGUUACUCGCAGAAGAAGCACCGGCUAACUCCGUGCCAGCAGCCGCGGUAAUACGGAGGGUGCAAGCGUUAAUCGGAAUUACUGGGCGUAAAGCGCACGCAGGCGGUUUGGUAAGUCAGAUGUGAAAUCCCCGCGCUUAACGUGGGAACUGCAUUUGAAACUGGCAAGCUAGAGUCUUGUAGAGGGGGGUAGAAUUCCAGGUGUAGCGGUGAAAUGCGUAGAGAUCUGGAGGAAUACCGGUGGCGAAGGCGGCCCCCUGGACAAAGACUGACGCUCAGGUGCGAAAGCGUGGGGAGCAAACA